rnacentral:hammerhead_ribozyme from 1 species
ACCCAGUUGACGAGUCCUAAACAGGACGAAAUGCGUGUCCCGAAU